AGUCAUAUGCUUGUCUCAAAGAUUAAGCCAUGCAUGUCUCAGUACAAGCCAAAUUAAGGUGAAACCGCGAAAGGCUCAUUAAAUCAGUUAUGGUUCCUUAGAUCGUACCCACACUUACUUGGAUAACUGUGGUAAUUCUAGAGCUAAUACAUGCAAAUAGAGCUCCUACCGGAGACGGAAGGAGCGCUUUUAUUAGAUCAAAACCAAUCGGUGACGCUUGCGUUACCGUACUCCUUGGUGACUCUGAAUAACUUGUUGCUGAUCGCACGGUCUCGAACCGGCGACGCAUCUUUCAAAUGUCUGCCUUAUCAACUGUCGAUGGUAGGUUCUGCGCCUACCAUGGUUGUAACGGGUAACGGGGAAUCAGGGUUCGAUUCCGGAGAGGGAGCCUGAGAAACGGCUACCACAUCCAAGGAAGGCAGCAGGCGCGCAAAUUACCCACUCCCGGCACGGGGAGGUAGUGACGAAAAAUAACGAUACGGGACUCAUCCGAGGCCCCGUAAUCGGAAUGAGUACACUCUAAACCCUUUAACGAGGAUCAAUUGGAGGGCCAGUCUGGUGCCAGCAGCCGCGGUAAUUCCAGCUCCAAUAGCGUAU
rnacentral:rRNA from 1 species